rnacentral:lncRNA from 1 species
GUUUUAAUUGGCUCCUCGGUCCCCUGGGUCAGCGAGGACAAACACAGCCCUGUCUUGCCUGAUUUGGAGCUGAGAUAGAACUUGUCAUAUUCCUUUUUGUCAAGUUGCAUGGAAAAUUAACCAGAGGCGAUCAGUAGAAGAAACUCCAUGUCUCUGGCUGACCAAGACCACGGCAGUGGAGACGGAUUCAGGGAUUCUCCCAAGAGUGACUUUUCUUCCUUUAAAAAAAAAAAAAAAUUGAAUCUAUUUGGCAGAGUUACAACUCUCUCCAGCUGGAUUCUCAGCACACACCUGGUUUCCCUCAUCAACUCUUCUCCGGAGGACUUGGCGUUUAGAUUUUUUUCAACGUUGUCUACAGAAAGUUGCCAUCACGGAGCCCAGCUGUCGUGGCUGGGCUUGCCAAGGGAGAUUUUCUGCGGAGGGUCCAAGAUCAAAGCAGCCUCUUGCCUUGCAAGUUUGGAGUGGGAAGGAGGAGGGGAGCCUUCUGGCGUGUGUGUCCAGUUGCUCAGGUCCAAAGUGG